rnacentral:rRNA from 1 species
UACGUAGGGUGCAAGCGUUAAUCGGAAUUACUGGGCGUAAAGCGUACGCAGGCGGCUUUGCAAGACAGGUGUGAAAUCCCCGGGCCUAACCUGGGAACUGCAUUUGUGACUGCAUGGCUAGAGUUUGUCAGAGGGGGGUGGAAUUCCACGUGUAGCAGUGAAAUGCGUAGAUAUGUGGAGGAACACCGAUGGCGAAGGCAGCCCCCUGGGAUGUGACUGACGCUCAUGUACGAAAGCUAGGGGAGCGAACGGG